CUAAAAUUUAACGGAUCUAAAUAAUAUACCGAGACCUUGUCCAUAAAUAUUUUUAUGUACAAGUUACAUAGAAUAUAUAUGGGGUAGCGGACUGGGCUAUUCAUUUUUUCUUUUUAAGACUUAAGAUUAGAUUACCCAAGUGAUAAUGCUGACAUGAGUAACGAUAAAGGGUUUAUACCCUCGCCUAAAGCUUAUGGAAUUUACUUAAAGUAACGGCCUCUAAGUUUAAGUCUGCUAACUUGUAAUAACUAGUAUCUUGUUGUUGAUACAAGUAAGUAAACAUCCUAAAGGUAUAAACGAUGAGAAAAAAAUAGUUUUUUUUUAAACUAAAAACUUAGUUUUACACAGAAAAUAUAAGCCUAUAAGGUAAACAAUUUUAGAUAGGUUUUAUCUCUAUAAGGUACUAGAUAACUUAGUUUUAUACUAAUAUCUAAUUAUAUAAUUAUAGAUAUUAUAAAAAUAGCAUUUUGUAACAAACGGUGUUGAUGUAAUAUUGCUUAUCAUCAUCUUUUAGAUGAAGUGAAGUAAUUGUUAUAUAAAAAGCAAUCAAUAAGUUGUCAAAACAAAGUGAGAAAUGCUCUGGAAAAAUGCAAAACUUUGUCGUGAUUUAUAUCUGAGAUAGUUAUAUAUAAGGCGGAUCGUCCCUUGUAUAUGCCUAUUAAGAGCUAAUA
rnacentral:rRNA from 1 species